rnacentral:rRNA from 1 species
UGGGGAAUAUUGCACAAUGGGCGAAAGCCUGAUGCAGCAACGCCGCGUGAGUGAUGAAGGCCUUCGGGUUGUAAAGCUCUGUCUUCUGGGACGAUAAUGACGGUACCAGAGGAGGAAGCCACGGCUAACUACGUGCCAGCAGCAGCGGUAAUACGUAGGUGGCAAGCGUUGUCCGGAUUUACUGGGCGUAAAGGAUGCGUAGGCGGAUACUUAAGUCAGAUGUGAAAAUCCCGGGCUUAACUUGGGAACUGCAUUUGAAACUGGGUAUCUAGAGUGCGGGAGAGGAAAGUGGAAUUCCUAGUGUAGCGGUGAAAUGCGUAGAGAUUAGGAAGAACACCAGUGGCGAAGGCGACUUUCUGGACCGUAACUGACGCUGAGGCAUGAA